rnacentral:rRNA from 1 species
UGGGGAGUACGGUCGCAAGAUUAAAACUCAAAGGAAUUGACGGGGACCCGCACAAGCGGUGGAUGAUGUGGAUUAAUUCGAUGCAACGCGAAAAACCUUACCUACCCUUGACAUGGAUGGAAUCCCGGAGAGAUUUGGGAGUGCUCGAAAGAGAACCAUUACACAGGUGCUGCAUGGCUGUCGUCAGCUCGUGUCGUGAGAUGUUGGGUUAAGUCCCGCAACGAGCGCAACCCUUGUCAUUAGUUGCUACGAAAGGGCACUC